AUUGAACGCUGGCGGCAGGCUUAACACAUGCAAGUCGAGCGGGGUGAUGGUGCUUGCACUAUCACUUAGCGGCGGACGGGUGAGUAAUGCUUAGGCAUCUGCCUAUUAGUGGGGGACAACAUCUCGAAAGGGAUGCUAAUACCGCAUACGUCCUACGGCAGAAAGCAGGGGAUCACUUGUGACCUUGCGCUAAUAGAUGAGCCUAAGUCGGGUUAGCUAGUUGGUGGGGUAAAGGCCUACCAAGGCGACGAUCUGUAGCGGGUCUGAGAGGAUGAUCCGCCACACUAGGACUGAGACACGGCCCAGACUCCUACGGGAGGCAGCAGUGGGGAAUAUUGGACAAUGGGGGGAACCCUGAUCCAGCCAUGCCGCGUGUGUGAAGAAGGCCUUAUGGUUGUAAAGCACUUUAAGCGAGGAGGAGGCUUACCUAGUUAAUACCUGGGAUAAGUGGACGUUACUCGCAGAAUAAGCACCGGCUAACUCUGUGCCAGCCGCCGCCGUAA
rnacentral:rRNA from 1 species